GACCUGGUGGUGAAUGGAUCACGUUUGCUUUCCUUUACCAAGGAGCACAGCAUACAGUGGGAGUCCCCGGUUCGAUUCCGGGUUGGGUCA